UUUGUCCGAUAAACUCGAGAGCUCAAGCGCCAAAGUUCUCUUUACUGUGCCCAGGUUACUGCCCAAGAUCUUCUCACUGCCUAUGAUUUCUUGCUAAUUCUCUGGCCAAGAGAUGCUAUCGUGUAUGGUCUAAGAGCUUAAAGCAACUGUUUGGGUCUAAGUCCUGGCCCAGGAAGGAUGAGCUGUGUGACUUCGGCAAUCUUACGAGUGAGGGAUUUUACAGACAAGGACAUUGAAGAACAGAGAAGUUAAGUCACAGGACAAACGUUGCAUAGCAACAGAGUAUUGGGGAUGGGAUUCAAACCCCAGCCUGACUCCAGCACUUUACCUUCUCCUUCAUCUCUCUGCCCACCGCCUUUCGGGAAAUGGAGCAGCCCAGCAAGAGAGCACAUGUGUGCGUGCAUGUGACAUGGGGCAAGUCAGGGAAGGGGGAGAUGCCAUCUGACUAGUGUUGCCUCAUUUCACAAAUGCAUUAUUUCCUGACAGGUCCUCUGCACAUUUGUUAUGGUUAAUAUUUCAAAUUUUGUAUUUUAAAUAUAAAGAAA